rnacentral:rRNA from 1 species
GACAGAGGAUGCAAGCGUUAUCCGGAAUGAUUGGGCGUAAAGCGUCUGUAGGUGGCAUAGUAAGCGAAUAGUGAAAGCGUGUGGCUCAACCAUACAUCCAUUAUUUGAACUGCUAGGCUAGAGUAUGAGAGAGGUAGAUGGAAUUCCCUGUGUAGGAGUGAAAUCCGUAGAUAUAGGGAGGAACACCGAUGGCGUAGGCAGUCUACUGGCUCAUUACUGACACUAAGGCACGAAAGCGUGGGGAGCAAACGGG